rnacentral:piRNA from 1 species
UCCAUUUCUGAGAAAACAUAUUUACCCUGCC